rnacentral:rRNA from 1 species
AGGGAAUCUUCCGCAAUGGGCGAAAGCCUGACGGAGCAAUGCCGCGUGAGUGAUGAAGGUCUUCGGAUCGUAAAACUCUGUUAUUAGGGAAGAACAAAUGUGUAAGUAACUAUGCACGUCUUGACGGUACCUAAUCAGAAAGCCACGGCUAACUACGUGCCAGCAGCCGCGGUAAUACGUAGGUGGCAAGCGUUAUCCGGAGUUAUUGGGCGUAAAGCGCGCGUAGGCGGUUUUUUAAGUCUGAUGUGAAAGCCCACGGCUCAACCGUGGAGGGUCAUUGGAAACUGGAAAACUUGAGUGCAGAAGAGGAAAGUGGAAUUCCAUGUGUAGCGGUGAAAUGCGCAGAGAUAUGGAGGAACACCAGUGGCGAAGGCGACUUUCUGGUCUGUAACUGACGCUGAUGUGCGAAAGCGUGGGGAUCAAACAGGAUUAGAUACCCUGGUAGUCCACGCCGUAAACGAUGAGUGCUAAGUGUUAGGGGGUUUCCGCCCCUUAGUGCUGCAGCUAACGCAUUAAGCACUCCGCCUGGGGAGUACGACCGCAAGGUUG